rnacentral:rRNA from 1 species
UGUAAAGAAUCUGAUGUAUAAAGAGUCCUGCCUGCCCAGUGACUGGUUUAGUUUAACGGCCGCGGUAUAUUGACCGUGCAAAGGUAGCAUAAUCAUUUGCCUCUUAAAUUGGGGCUGGAAUGAAUGGCAAGACGGGAAUUAAGCUGUCUCUCUCUUAUAGUUUGAAGUUAAUAUUUUUGUGAAGAAACAGAAAUAUGAUCGUAGGACGAGAAGACCCUAUCGAGCUUUAAUAUAUGGGGAUGUAAUAUAUUAACUAUUGUCGCGUGCUAAUUAUUUUUUAGUAAUUAAUUAUAAAGUUACUGGUCAUUGGCGGUGGUGUUGUGCAUAUUAUAUUUGGGUUGGGGCAAUCGCGGAGAAUAAUUAUCCUCCGCUAUUUUUUUUAAAAAAAAUCUUUUUAGAUUUGAGUAUUCAAAUUGAAGUGAUCCACUUAUAUAAGUGAUUAAAAGAAUAAGUUACCGUAGGGAUAACAGCGUAAUUUUUUUGGAGAGUUCAUAUUGAUAAAAAAGUUUGCGACCUCGAUGUUGGAUCGGGAUUUCCUGGGGAUGUAGCAGUUCCUGAGGGUUGGUCUGUUCGACCAUUAAAAUCCU